rnacentral:lncRNA from 1 species
UCUUUUUUGUCUUUUUAGGGCUGAACCUGCAGCAUAUGGCAGUUCCCAGACUAGGCAUUGAAUCAGAACUGCAGCUGCUGGCCUACACCACAGCCACAGCAACACAGGAUGAAGCCACGUCUUCGACCUAGACCACAGCUCAGGGUAAUGCUGGAUCCUUAACCCACUGAGCAAGGCCAGGGAUCAAACCCACAUCCUCAUGGAUACUAGUCGGAUAUGUUUCUGCUGAGCUGCAUUGGGAACUCCACCCCUCAUCUCCUUUUUAAGGAGUCCCCUGAAGUAGUAAUGGAGAUAAUGAAGUAAUAAUGGAAAUGUGAGGUCUUGGGAGAUAAAAAACCUUCCCAGGGCCCAAAUUUGCUGUAUUAUGAAGGGAAAAAGUAAGAACAAAGAGACUGGCAAUUAAGACCCAUGGACUGUUUCCAGGCUUAAAAAAAAAAAAAAAAAAAAAGCAGCAGGAUAUAAUUGCAUUAAAUCACUGGAUCUUAAAACUUGUUCUGAAGCACCUAGAUAACUUAUUUGAAGCAUGGGCUUCUCAGGAUCAAUUCAGGAGCCUAUUCAAAACAUUUUGUCCAGGGUAGUGGCAGGUGGAAGUUGUUCUCAGUGCCCAGCCUGGGUUGUAGGGUUGGGCAAGGCUAGCAAAUGUCCCCUUGUUCCUGCACUGGAGGAAUUUUUUGCUAACUGUGUGAGGCUCUUAGGGACCCAACCACUUCCCUUGUUAUUGAGAAAUAUGCUGUGAUUCCAGCAGUUGCCAUGUAUUAUCCCAUUUCGUUGUCAUUUUCAGGGUAAUAAUAGCGAUACCCUCUGGAUUCAUGGAGUACAGUUAACACAGGAAUUUGCCCUAGAUUUUCUCAUAAUAAAAAUAAUAAUGGAUCCCUUUUUUCAUGUGCCCAUAAUAAGAUGGGGGCUUUAUGUACAUUACCCUUAAUCCUCCCAAGAAAUCUAUACUUUUAUAUUUGAGGAAGCAGAGGCUCAGAAUCACUAAGAGAAUUUUCUUUGAGUCUCAUCACCAGUAAACAGAGCUAGAAUCAGAAUUCAAAUAGCAGAUUUUUCUAAUCAUGUGUGGCCCUGUUCCAUAAUUUAAAGAAAAUUCAGGUUUAUUUUGUUUAAACUUUUAAACAUUUGAAAUAUAGCAUGUUUAUAUCACUACUGAGUUUUACUAAGUUAUGAGGAAAUUUUACAUCUUUAUACAUGAAGAAACCACUAUGAAAUCAGUAGAUACAAGUUUGAGCUCUUCACGUGUUAAUUCACUGUCUCUGACUGGCUCUAUGUCUUCUUUUUGGUUUUGUUAGUUAGUUUGUUUAUUUGGCCACACCUGUGGUAUGCCACUAAGGCACAGCAGUGACAGUGCAGGAUCCUUAACCAGCUGUGCCACCAAGGAACUCCUGGCUCCACUCUCCUUAAUUCACUGAUCUGGGAGAGUUAUUUAACCUCUUUGACCUCACUUUCCAGUUUUAUUAUUUGGAUAUAAUAGCAAUACCCAUUUCAGGUAGCUUUCAAGAGGCUUGCAUGACCUAAUACAUAGAAUGUGUUUAGAAAAGUAUCAAGUAUAUGGUAAAUGAUAAAUAUUAGAUGGUUAUAAAAUGACUGUGGCGAUAUGAUGGCAUUUGCCUUGACAGACUGGAGAUGUAUUUGCUUUGACCACAUACCGGAGUAUAUUUAGUCUAGUAAAACAGUAUGUGCAAAGGUUUCUUGUUGUCUAAUAGAACCUAGAUUUUGAGAGAGCCACAGACCUGCAGAUUCUCCCUUUUGAUCUGAGCUCUCCCCAGAUGGUUAUAACACCAGUUCCUUCUUGAUGAGUUAUAACCAUGCGUGUAUGACACGGCAAGCACUUUUAAAUCUAGUGUCUCAGUAGCUCUGACGAUGGAAAUCAUCUGGUUUUCAGUAUAAAUUGUGGUCAAGAGCACUCUCCUGUACCAGUCCUCAAAGCCCCCACCCCACAGGAUGGACACCUGAGAGAGAAACCCAGCUUCACAUCCACUCCAUAGGCUGCCUCGGUCUCCACAUGGCCACUUAAAUGUCUCUGGGGCCAUCUUGUACUAGUUUUAAUAUUGCAUUUAAAUAAAAUCACACAAGAAACAUCUGAACUUAUUUUCAUAGGCCUCAUACCUUUUCAGACACAAUCCUUUAGGCCUCAUAAUCCAUCCUAAUAGAAUCAGUGGUACUGACUCCUCCAUGGUUCUUUUUAGAACACAAUUAUCACACACUGGAAUUAAGUUGUCAAAAUGGAUUGUCACCUUCUACUGGUUACGGGGGAUUAAGACCUCUUCGUUCCAAAUGCUACCCAUUUUCUCUGUAAGCCCUGAUUGUCCGCACAGUGUUGAACAAACAAAAAGCUGUUUUUCUAGCUUUACUCUGACCUCACAGACCAUACUGCUGAUUACCUGCUGCUGUCACUCUGAGAUGACUCAGGUGGCUGGCUGACCCUGUUCGCUGGGAUUUCCCUCAGGGCACAUCACAUACCUGGACUUUUCUUUCUAUCAGCAUUGUGCAUAGUAUCCGAACUACAUAGAAGAUUCUCACGAAAAUGUUUUAGGAUUUGGUAGCCUCCAACAAAUCUUCAUUUGUGGCAUGUCUUCUAGUACUGUUAUGUUUACACUUAAAAAAACUAAAGUUUUGAACUCAAAACUAGAUAUGACUAUGCCUACCCAUUGAAUUCAAAACCAAAGUCAAGUGUUCGAUCUUAUAAAAAUAUGUAAGUAACCAUUUUUUAAAAAUUAACCUAACAACCCAGUUCAAAUAGAUGUGGACUUCUUAUAAUAUCAAACUUACUGUAAAAACUGAAAUUUUGUUUUGAGACCCACGUUUUAAAAAUAUCAUCUUGGGGAGUUUCUGCUGUGGUGCAUCAGGAUUGGCAGGGCCCUGGGAGCGCUGGGACGCAGGUUCGAUCCCAGCAUAGUGGAUUAAGGAUCUGGCGUUGCCACAGCUGAGAGCCAGAUGGCAACUGCAGCUCAGAUCUUAUCCCUGGCCAGAGAACUCCACAUGCCGUAGAGCAGUCAAAAAAGAAAAAAA